AGCAGUGAAUCUGAGGCUUGUAAAAACAGGUGGAAGUUUACUAAGCGAAAUCUACUCGCAUAGAGUCAACCAUCGUUCUAUGGCGGGCAAUGCUGUCGUUGUGGAACUCACAGGAGGAGAAGAAGUGUAUGUAGUGGUCUACAAAGAAACGAAUUUCUUGGUUGGUGGAUCGCGUGAAGUGUAUUGCACAUUUUCGGGUCAUCUUCUUUAUGCAGCUCAACCGGAUGAGAUUGUGGGUUAAACGUAUUAUUUGAGUUUGACGAGGUUGAAUAAAUUCAACUUCUAGAAAGACA